rnacentral:lncRNA from 1 species
AACUGAUUUCUAUCAAAAACUACAGUGGGUUUGACAAUCAAUCCUUCUCUGAAAUACUAAUCAAUAAAUUAAAUCUCGGAUCAUUGUUCAAGGAGCAAGAUCAUUAAGUGUUCAUCACCAUCUUCAAACCAAUCUCGGGAUUUUCUUCAAAGCAAGGUAAAUCUGAGAGUCUAAACCUUCAAUAUCAUCUUUUUCUUUUCUCUAGUGAUCUAAAUCACCUUUCUUAAGUCUGUCUGUGUGGAAAUGGCGCACAUCAUGAAUAAGUGGGGGAAGCCAUACGUUUGGCG